CUAAAACCGAUACAACACAACCCACAUGACAUGGGCACCACCGGCCAACCUGGCCACCGACAUGGAACAGAAUCCACGACGGCACAUGCCAACAGAUGGCCACACUCGCAAGCAACCGACAGCUCCGACUUCGACGACGAGAAACAGAAGGGAAAUAUGCAGGACUUGCGCCGACCGUGCCCUCCGCAAACGACCGCCGA
rnacentral:rRNA from 1 species